UCAUAUCACGUUGAAACACCUGUUCUAGUCCGAUCACCGAAGUUUAGGAACGUCAAGCCUGGUCCGUAUCUAGAUGGGUGACCCCUUGGAAAUACCAGGUGCUGUAA